ACUGCGCGUGUUGCCACUUGCCACUGAGCUUCGUGUCGACAUCUCAAGCUGCUCGACCCAUGUGUGGGCAUCUCGGUCAUUUCGCGAAGGCCGCGCAUCCUAUAAAUGAGACCCCUUCCUCCUCCCCUGCCGUUGUUGUUGGCUUCGUGGUCCGUGUUUAACGGGCGUAGAGAGAGAAAGAGAACAGAGCGAGAGAGGGGGAGGACGAAGCCCUCCGCGUCGUCUCCUGCUGUUCCAUCCCACAUCUAUUCUGCCUCGGCUUGCACCUUCGACCUCGCUGGUGAACAUCUCUGGUUCUAUUUUCAUCGUCGGGUAACAAGAAACUAAUCAGGGAGUCUCUUCCCAUUUCUUGCAGUGGAGGAAUGUUUAGCUACAGCCGCGCAGCAUGCUUUCCAGAGCAUAAAUUGGUGGAAGAGAAGUUUGAUGCUACCACUUUGCCAGAAGAACCGAGCCAGACACAAUAACAUCAAACUGAGUCUGAGAUACUGCACUUUACAAAUUCUUUCGAUAUUGGCAGAUUGAAGACCAACAAGAUUUGAAGAGCAGCAAGAUCAGCUUGCACCUGCAGUUUGAAGAAAUCCUUUCAAAGAAGACUGCUUGCGGCAAUCUUGCCUUCACUCCACAAGCAUGUGCUGUGUUAUGCGUACCAUGUAAUGAUUGUAGUACUUGACAACUGAUACCAAAGUAGUGGAUGCUUUUCUUUCGCAUGAAGUCAUGUUGAUUUUUGUACGUUCUAACAGCGUCUCCAUCAAUAUCCUAUUGAAUCUCCCAUACUUCUAUACCUAUA
rnacentral:lncRNA from 1 species